rnacentral:rRNA from 1 species
UACAGAGGGUGCAAGCGUUGUUCGGAAUUAUUGGGCGUAAAGGGCGCGUAGGCGGUGCGGUAAGUCUGUAGUGAAAUCUCUGGGCUCAACUCAGAGUCUGCUGCAGAAACUGCCGUGCUUGAGUGUGGGAGAGGUGAGUGGAAUUCCCGGUGUAGCGGUGAAAUGCGUAGAUAUCGGAAGGAACACCUGUGGCGAAAGCGGCUCACUGGACCAUUACUGACGCUGAUGCACGAAAGCUAGGGGAGCAAACAGG